UUUCUUCCAGCCUUACAGUCUGGAGGCGGAGCGAGCAGGUGGGUGACGCCCCAGGAUGCUUUAGGGUGGAGCCUGGAUCGUCAUUCCUCCCUCCCAUUGGCCAGAGUGGAGUCACAUGGUCGCACCCAGCUGCAAGGGAGGCUGGGAAAUGUAGUCCUCAGUGGAAAAAAUAUCCUAAGGACAUCAGAGAAGGGGAAGGACGGUCCCCUCCCCAGCGGCGUGCGGCCCACGCGGGGAGACAGGCCGUCCCAAGCAGUGAAAUCAGACACCGUUUAAUUCUGCGAGCCCACAUCUCAGUUCCUCGCCUGGGACGCCACACGCCGAGUUUCAUCUAUGCUGCGGCACCCGCUCGCCCCGCAUCUCACGGCUCUGAACCAGGGAUGUGUCUGGUCAUUGACGGCAGCUUCGGUUUCACAAAGUCUGGUACUUGACUCGUUGGACUCUUGACAUUUAUGAGGCAUGUCAUACAACACACCCCGUCCUCCCGCAUCAGGGACUGGGCCUGUCCCCGGGUCGAUGAAGGCAACCUCUCGGCGUGUUUGGGGUCACAGGGAAGAGACGGGAAGCCUUCCUCACUGAAGGCUGAGCGUGUCCUAGGUGCUGGCAUGGCGGAGGUGUUGUAUACACCCCAUCAGGGAGCUUGUCUGACCCCCAAUUUACAGGUGAGGAGACAAAGCUUUUGUAGACUCGCUCACUGGAAGGGCUGGGGUUCCAACCCCAGAGCCAGGCUCUGGGUCACCCUCCACCUCUGGGCAGACGAUUUCCCAGAUGAGGGAGCUGCGGUGCACCGAGCUCGCCUGCACCAGAAAGCGGCAGAGCUGGGGCGUGAACCCGAGCCUGUUCUUCUCGGAAACCCAAAUGCUUCGUGACUCCGCUCUCCUGCCGUUGGCCUCCUUGUAGAAAAUGAGGUGGACUGACUGGGCAGCUUCCCGAGCCCAGACCUCGAAGUGAGCCUGUUUGAGCCCCUCCAUCUCCAGGGUUCUGCAUGAAGACUGUUCUUGGGCCAAGACAUUGAAGGAGAAAAAGCAGCUGAUAAACUAGCGAUGCCAGCCUCGCUUUCAGCACCGGCGAGGCCUGGGUCACGGGAACUCAGGGACUAUCUUUGAUGGCUUAUGGGAAUGUAUUUAAUACUGGCGGCGGGCUUUGUGAUGAAGUUCCUAACACAGGUUCCAACUCUUCUCCAUCCGGGAGCAGACCUGUGGUUUGGGCGGCAUUGGCUCCACCCCCAGCUCUAAGCCUCGCAGCUCCAUCCGCCCACCGAGGAGGAGUGGGACAUAACCCAAGUC